rfam:Gossypium hirsutum cultivar TM-1 chromosome 24, whole genome shotgun sequence
AACCCAUGAUAAGGGCACCUUCUCAGAAGAUCCUUAAAUCUCUCUCAUGCAUCAUACAAUGUCUUAAGCUUGAGUUGUGCAAAAGAAGAGAUGUCAUUCCUCAACUU